rfam:Mucor ambiguus DNA, scaffold: scf_mam1_v10135, strain NBRC 6742.
GUCGCUUUGUCCGAGUGGUUAAGGAGUUGGAUUCGAAACCCAAUGGUCUUUGACCGCGCAGGUUCAAAUCCUGCAGGCGACG